GACGGACGCUGGCGGCGUGCCUAAUACAUGCAAGUAGAACGCUGAAGAGAGGAGCUUGCUCUUCUUGGAUGAGUUGCGAACGGGUGAGUAACGCGUAGGUAACCUGCCUUGUAGCGGGGGAUAACUAUUGGAAACGAUAGCUAAUACCGCAUAACAAUGGAUGACACAUGUCAUUUAUUUGAAAGGGGCAAUUGCUCCACUACAAGAUGGACCUGCGUUGUAUUAGCUAGUAGGUGAGGUAACGGCUCACCUAGGCGACGAUACAUAGCCGACCUGAGAGGGUGAUCGGCCACACUGGGACUGAGACACGGCCCAGACCCCUACGGGAGGCAGCAGUAGGGAAUCUUCGGCAAUGGGGGCAACCCUGACCGAGCAACGCCGCGUGAGUGAAGAAGGUUUUCGGAUCGUAAAGCUCUGUUGUAAGUCAAGAACGAGUGUGAGAGUGGAAAGUUCACACUGUGACGGUAGCUUACCAGAAAGGGACGGCUAACUACGUGCCAGCAGCCGCGGUAAUACGUAGGUCCCGAGCGUUGUCCGGAUUUAUUGGGCGUAAAGCGAGCGCAGGCGGUUUGAUAAGUCUGAAGUUAAAGGCUGUGGCUCAACCAUAGUUCGCUUUGGAAACUGUCAAACUUGAGUGCAGAAGGGGAGAGUGGAAUUCCAUGUGUAGCGGUGAAAUGCGUAGAUAUAUGGAGGAACACCGGUGGCGAAAGCGGCUCUCUGGUCUGUAACUGACGCUGAGGCUCGAAAGCGUGGGGAGCGAACAGGAUUAGAUACCCUGGUAGUCCACGCCGUAAACGAUGAGUGCUAGGUGUUGGAUCCUUUCCGGGAUUCAGUGCCGCAGCUAACGCAUUAAGCACUCCGCCUGGGGAGUACGACCGCAAGGUUGAAACUCAAAGGAAUUGACGGGGGCCCGCACAAGCGGUGGAGCAUGUGGUUUAAUUCGAAGCAACGCGAAGAACCUUACCAGGUCUUGACAUCCCGAUGCUAUUUCUAGAGAUAGAAAGUUACUUCGGUACAUCGGUGACAGGUGGUGCAUGGUUGUCGUCAGCUCGUGUCGUGAGAUGUUGGGUUAAGUCCCGCAACGAGCGCAACCCCUAUUGUUAGUUGCCAUCAUUCAGUUGGGCACUCUAGCGAGACUGCCGGUAAUAAACCGGAGGAAGGUGGGGAUGACGUCAAAUCAUCAUGCCCCUUAUGACCUGGGCUACACACGUGCUACAAUGGUUGGUACAACGAGUUGCGAGUCGGUGACGGCAAGCUAAUCUCUUAAAGCCAAUCUCAGUUCGGAUUGUAGGCUGCAACUCGCCUACAUGAAGUCGGAAUCGCUAGUAAUCGCGGAUCAGCACGCCGCGGUGAAUACGUUCCCGGGCCU
rnacentral:rRNA from 1 species